rnacentral:rRNA from 1 species
GUGAGGAAUAUUGGUCAAUGGACGAGAGUCUGAACCAGCCAAGUAGCGUGAAGGAUGACUGCCCUAUGGGUUGUAAACUUCUUUUAUAAGGGAAUAAAGUGAGGGACGUGUCCCUUUUUGUAUGUACCUUAUGAAUAAGGAUCGGCUAACUCCGUUCCAGCAGCCGCGGUAAUACGGAGGCUCCAAGCGUUAUCCGGAUUUAUUGGGUUUACAGGGAGCGUAGGUUGCCAUAUAAGUGAGCUGUGAAAGUUUACGGCUCAACCGUGAAAUUGCAGAUGAUACUGUAUGUCUUGAGUGUACAAGAGGUGGGCGGAAUUCGUGGUGUAGCGGUGAAAUGCUUAGAUAUCACGAAGAACUCCAAUUGCGAAGGCAGCUCACUGGGGUACAACUGACACUGAGGCUCGAAAGUGUGGGUAUCAAACAGGAUUAGAAACCCCAGUAGUCC